UGCCAGCCGCCGCGGUAAUACGAACUGUGCAAACGUUAUUUGGAAUCACUGGGCUUAAAGGGUGCGUAGGCGGGUUUGAAGGUCUGAUGUGAAAGCCCACGGCUCAACCGUGGAAUUGCGUUGGAAACCACAAGUCCUGAGGAGAUCAGAGGUGAGCGGAACUGAUGGUGGAGCGGUGAAAUGCGUUGAUAUCAUCAGGAACACCGGUGGCGAAAGCGGCUCGCUGGGAUCUUUACUGACGCUGAGGCACGAAAGCUAGGGGAGCGAACGGGAUUAGAUA
rnacentral:rRNA from 1 species